rnacentral:rRNA from 1 species
GAUGAACGCUGGCGGCGUGCCUAAUACAUGCAAGUCGAGCGAACAGAUGAGGAGCUUGCUCCACUGACGUUAGCGGCGGACGGGUGAGUAACACGUGGAUAACCUACCUAUAAGACUGGGAUAACUUCGGGAAACCGGAGCUAAUACCGGAUAAUAUAUUGAACCGCAUGGUUCAAUAGUGAAAGACGGGUUUGCUGUCACUUAUAGAUGGAUCCGCGCCGCAUUAGCUAGUUGGUAAGGUAACGGCUUACCAAGGCAACGAUGCGUAGCCGACCUGAGAGGAUGAUCGGCCACACUGGAACUGAGACGCGGUACAGACUCCUACGGGAGGCAGCAGUAGGGAAUCUUCCGCAAUGGGAGAAAGCCUGGCGGAGCAACGCCGCGUGAGUGACGGAGGUCUUCGGAUCGUAAAACUCUGUUAUUAGGGAAGAACAAAUGUGUAAGUAACUAUGCACGUCUUGACGGUACCUAAUCAGAAAGCAACGGCUAACUACGUG